rnacentral:misc_RNA from 1 species
GUUUUUAGUAGCUUGGCACAAAUACUAAAGAAUCUCCCUUGUUGGCACAAAUCCGAAGGAACCUCCUUUGGUGGUGACUAUACGCUUCCAUGGUGGUGGAGUUGAAAAUGGGGCUGGUUGGGAAGUUUCUGGGCUGUUUCCCAAGUGCUAGAACCCCCUGGCCAAGUUUGGAAGUCUCUGGAAAAUUCUGCCGAAAACUGCCCUCUGGAGCUAUCUGGAAGCUUUUGGAGACAGGCACAGAUUAACCUUAUUCUACCUAGCUCUCCGCACAUCCUCCACCCAGCACGGCGCGCUAGUCUUGCAGCCGAAUCUUGCUCCGCACUACAUUGUUCGUCUGCCAAUUGAACCUCUCUCACACGCCCAAUGCCCUGCACUGCCCUGCCAAUCCAGUUUGAACCUUGUACGCGCCUUGCCUGCCUUGCGCCAGCGUAGCAUGCGCUAGCGCCCCAAUUCCACACUGCCCCCGCCAAGUUAACCUUGUUUGGCCUGAUUCUUGUCAAAUUGAACCUCACAUAUGCGCAGUCUGCCCAUCAAACCUGCGCUACUUCCCCUCUCCCUGCAAGGUUACCCCAACCAUGAACCUCACUUGGCAGCACUCCUGCGGUAAAAUUUUGGACUCCUACGGGAGGUGAUUUUUGUGGGUUUACAUCUUGCAUGGAAGCCACUGGCACUUUGGAUGAGGAUUGUUAAGUUGUUGUGAAUAUGCUGUUUUGGGGGAUUGGUAUUUAAUUUGUGAACAAUUGUUCUGUAUGGUCUAGGAGUAGUUUUAAUCUUACAAUUCUCCUGCUCCCUCUCACAAAUUGUCUCUGAUUUCUUUUUUGAUGGCCUGAUUAAUAUCUGCAAUCUUGACUAACUAACCAUGUUUCCACCCCUCAAUACCACAGAUCGAAUUCACCUGUUCUGGAAGA